rnacentral:rRNA from 1 species
UACGUAGGGAGCAAGCGUUGUCCGGAAUCAUUGGGCGUAAAGCGCGCGUAGGCGGCCCCGUAAGUCCGCUGUGAAAGUCAAAGGCUCAACCUUUGAAAGCCGGUGGAUACUGUGGGGCUAGAGUCCGGAAGAGGCGAGUGGAAUUCCUGGUGUAGCGGUGGAAUGCGCAGAUAUCAGGAAGAACACCCGUGGCGAAGGCGGCUCUCUGGAACGCAACUGACGCUGAGACGCGAAAGCGUGGGGAGCAAACAGG